GGGGUCUGAUUUGCUUAUUGCACCACAUGUGUUUUUCUUUGAAACAAACUUGCUUUGGCGGUGGGCCCAGCCUGCCGCCAGAGGUCUAAACUUACAACCAAUUUUUUAUCAACUUGUCACACCAGAUUAUUACUAAUAGUCAAAACUUUCAACAACGGAUCUCUUGGUUCUCGCAUCGAUGAAGAACGCAGCGAAAUGCGAUACGUAAUAUGAAUUGCAGAUAUUCGUGAAUCAUCGAAUCUUUGAACGCACAUUGCGCCCUCUGGUAUUCCGGAGGGCAUGCCUGUUUGAGCGUCGUUUCUCCCUCAAACCGCUGGGUUUGGUGUUGAGCAAUACGACUUGGGUUUGCUUGAAAGACGGUAGUGGUAAGGCGGGAUCGCUUUGACAAUGGCUUAGGUCUAACCAAAAACAUUGCUUGCGGCGGUAACGUCUACCACGUAUAUCUUCAAACUUUGACCUCAAAUCAGGUAGGACUACCCGCUGAACUUAAGCAUAUCAAUAAGCGGAGGAA
rnacentral:rRNA from 1 species